ACCCUCUCCCCGACCUCUCCCUCCCGUGCUAGAACCCUAGUCGCCGCCUCCCCCGCCUCGCCUCUCUCUCUCUCUCCCUCCAAACCCUAGAACCUCACCCGCGCCUCCCAGCCCCGCUGUCGUCGUCUUCUCGCCCAGCCGGCCGCCGCCGCACCGCACGCUCGUGCGCAGGGGCGAGAAGGGGAACCACCGCCCGCUCCCCGAGCGCGAGGAGGACGUGGUGAUGCAGCGCCCAGAUCCACGGCGGGAUCGACGCGCCGUCGUUGACCUGAGCCGCCACCGUCCUCGAGGUCGGCCAUGGAGGGGGGUCCGACCCAGCUGCAGCCGUGGACGGAGACACCCCAAACCCUAGCAUGGGGACCGAGCCGCCAUGGAAGGAGGCCAGGGGCGAGGACGACGCCAUGGUCCCUGUUGUGCUCCCGGAUCCGUCGCCCAUCUGCCCCGACCUGGCCCUUCUCCUUCCCGCCGGCCAAGCGGAGCCGCUCGUGUCGCUGCUCUACCUGACGAGGGCAUCGUAUUCUUGGUAAUGUUAAGGAGGUGUUGUCCAGUACAGAUUAUUGGAUUUAUGACACAUUCACUCCAUCAUAGAGACCCAAGAUCCUUCACAAGCCAUGUUAAUCAGGAGUCUUCUCUUCUCCAUGGACGAACAUCGACAGGCAAUGGUAAGCCAUCUCAAGGGAGGGGAUUCCCAAGUCUCCCCACUUCCAAUCCAUGGACGCCACCCACAAGGACCAAGAUGACGACGACCAGGAAGGAAGGAGCCCACGCCCGACCCCGGCGGUGGUGGUUCUGUUUGCGCGUCGGCGUCGACCACAACCUCCC